AUUUUUUACUGGUUUCGGCUCCUCUUUGGUGGAUCCGGUUUUGGUAAAAAAUAAAGAGCAGCCGCUGACCAAAUAGCCUAAAACAAGGACGCAGAACCAAAACUCUUCAGCACCCAAAAGGAGAGUAACCAAAAACUGCACGAAAGAAUAAAACAAAAGCCAUUCAAAAACCAAGUGUUUCCUCUCACUUGUUGCAUAAAAUUAGAAACGGUUGAUGAAUAUUGCAAAGAGAGCUUGGUUUGGAUUGUGCUGGGGCUGCAUUGGUACUCCUCAUCCUCGAAAGCAUAUAACAAGUGGAUUCCACAUCUUUUCACCUUUAAUUCUAC
rnacentral:misc_RNA from 1 species